ACGAGACCUCAGCCUGCUAAAUAGACAGCGUAUCUUCGAAUGCGACUGACUUCUUAGAGGGACAUUUCGGGUUUACCGGAAGGAAGUUUGAGGCAAUAACAGGUCUGUGAUGCCCUUAGAUGUUCUGGGCCGCACGCGCGCUACAAUGGCAGAAUCAGCGAGUUUACCUUUGCCGACAGGCAUGGGAAAUCUUUUCAGUUUCUGCCGUGAUGGGGAUAGACCCUUGUAAUUGUUGGUCUCCAACGAGGAAUUCCUAGUAAACGCAAGUCAUUAACUUGCAUUGAUUACGUCCCUGCCCUUUGUACACACCGCCCGUCGCACCUACCGAUUGAAUGGUCCGGUGAAGUCUUCGGACCAUGGCAUGCCCUGAGCAAGCCGUGGAAAGUUGAGUAAACC
rnacentral:rRNA from 1 species